CAAUAGCGUAUAUUAACGUUGUUGCAGUUAAAAAGCUCGUAGUUGGAUUUCUGGAGGGAGCGUCGGCCCGUAUUUACGAGUGCGUGACGUCUCUGUCCAUCCUUGCGGGAAGGCACGGCAUUGAUUUGUUGUGUCGGAUCGCAUCAUUUGCUGUGAAAAAAUUAGAGUGUUCAAAGCAGGCUUUCGCUUGAAUACAUUAGCAUGGAAUAAUAAGAUAGGACUUUGGUGCUAUUUUGUUGGUUGAGCCUAAAGUAAUGAUUAAUAGGGAUAGUUGGGGGCACCUGUAUUGCGUUGUCAGAGGUGAAAUUCUUGGAUUUACGCAAGACAAACAGCUGCGAAAGCGUCUGCCAAGGAUGUUUUCAUUAA
rnacentral:rRNA from 1 species